UUUACCUAAAUAUUCACUUUUGUACACAUUUUCUUUAAAUAUCAGAUGUAUACUAGCUAAAGUUAACUAUUAUUUAGAGUUCUGUAAAAAAAAAAAAUAAAAGCAGAGCUCUAGAUAAUAGAUUUGGAGGGUUGGAGAAAUUGUGGGUAACUACAUUUGAUUAUGCGAAAUUUUCUGAUAAUAGUGAUUUGUUAAAAAUGCUUCUGAUAUUUUUUUUAUAUAUAUAAUAAUAUUUCUGAAAGCAAAUGGACAAUUAAAUCAUAUGGGCAUGAAAAAGCUUUGCAGCCAGGAUAGCAGCUCUAAGGAAGAUGGUCAAUUAAAUCUUCAACCAAAUCUGAGGUCUUACCAUGAAAAAUAUGUGGUUGUUGAAAUUACAAUGUUUUCAUGGUGUCGGGAGUAAGACUUGGAUAUCUGAUAUUGUUAACAUGUUGGCAGUUGAAAGUGUUACUGUUGCUGCCUUAUAUGGUACAAUCCUCGGACAAUAAUCCUGCAAACCAUCGGAUAAACUGUGACC